rnacentral:rRNA from 1 species
CCUACGGGUGGCAGCAGUGGGGGAUAUUGCACAAUGGGGGAAACCCUGAUGCAGCGACGCCGCGUGGGCGAAGACGUAUUUCGGUAUGUAAAGCCCUAUCAGCAGGGAAGAAGAAAUGACGGUACCCGAGUAAGACGCACCGGCUAAAUACGUGCCAGCAGCCGCGGUAAUACGUAUGGUGCAAGCGUUAUCCGGAUUUACUGGGUGUAAAGGGAGCGCAGGCGGCACGGCAAGCCGGAUGUGAAAGCCCGCGGCCCAACCGCCGGACUGCAUUGGGAACUACCGGGCUGGAGUGCCGGAGAGGUAGGCGGAAUUCCUAGUGUAGCGGUGAAAUGCGUAGAUAUUAGGAAGAACACCAGUGGCGAAGGCGGCUUUCUGGACUGAAACUGACGCUGAGGCACGAAAGCGUGGGGAGCGAACAGGAUUAGAUACCCUAGUAGUC